AUGGCGCCGAGCGCAAGCCCUAGCCCAGGCCUGGCGGUCACGGCGCCGGUCCACCAAGCCCGCGUGCGGGUGCUCCACCCGGGGCAGGGCCUGUCCCCUGCUGGCGCGAAUCCCGGUCCGGUGGUCUACUGGAUGCUGCGGGACCAGCGGCUAGCCGACAACUGGGCGCUCCUCCACGCGGCGAGCCUCGCCGCCGCUUCCGCGGCGCCGCUCGCCGUCGCGUUCUCCCUGUUCCCGAAGCCGUUCCUCCUCUCCGCGCGCCGCCGCCAACUCGGAUUCCUCCUCCGUGGCCUCCGCCGGCUCGCCGCCGACGCCGCCACUCGCCGCAUCCCCUUCUUCCUCCUUACCGGUGGGCCCACGGAGAUACCAGCGCUGGUUCGGCGGCUCGGGGCGUCGGCGCUGGUCGCCGACUUCUCACCGCUCCGGCCGGUUCGCGAGGCACUGGACGCGGUGGUCGGCGCGCUGUGCCGCGAUGCUGCCAGUGUGACCGUUCACCAGGUGGACGCGCACAACGUGGUGCCGGUAUGGGCGGCAUCGGGGAAGCUGGAGUACUCUGCCAAGACCUUCAGAAGCAAGAUGAACAAGGUGUUGGAUGAGUACCUGGUUGAGUUCCCCGAGUUGGGAGAGGUGGUGCCAUGGGACAGGGAGCAGCCAAAGGACAUUGAUUGGGAUACGCUAAUUGACACGGUUUGCAGCCAGGCAGAGGACGUGCCAGAGAUUGACUGGUGCGAGCCAGGCGAGGCGGCGGCAAUGGAGGCACUUCUGGGUACCAAGGAUGGGUUCCUAACGAAGAGGAUCAAGAGCUAUGAUUCGGACCGGAAUUAUCCCACAAAGCCAAUGGCAUUGUCCGGCCUCUCUCCCUACCUGCAUUUUGGGCAUAUUUCAGCACAAAGAUGUGCUCUCGAGGCAAAAAAACGUCGCCAUCUUAGUCCCAAGUCAGUGGAUGCUUUCUUGGAGGAGCUGAUAAUAAGGAGGGAGCUAGCCGACAACUUCUGCUACUAUCAGCCUCACUAUGAUUCGGUAGCCGGUGCUUGGGAGUGGGCGAGGAAGACACUGAAGGAUCAUGCUGCCGACAAAAGAGAGCACAUUUACACGAGGGAGCAGCUUGAGAAUGCAAAAACAGCUGAUCCUCUCUGGAAUGCAUCACAGUUGGAGAUGGUCCACCAUGGAAAAAUGCACGGAUUCAUGCGAAUGUAUUGGGCCAAAAAAAUUCUAGAAUGGACCAGUGGACCUGAAGAAGCACUUUCAAUAGCAAUAUAUUUGAAUGACAAGUAUCACAUAGACGGCAGGGAUCCCAAUGGCUAUGUUGGUUGCAUGUGGUCUAUAUGUGGCCUCCAUGAUCAGGGUUGGAAGGAGCGUCCGGUAUUUGGAAAGAUACGUUACAUGAAUUAUGCUGGUUGCAAGAGAAAAUUCAACGUCGAUGCCUACAUUUCUUACGUCAAAAGAUUGGUUGCUCAACCCAAGAAAAGGAAACCGGAGGAAUCUCUGAAUUCAGCAGCCAAGUACUCGAAGUCUGAGAAGGACUAG
rnacentral:rRNA from 1 species